rnacentral:rRNA from 1 species
GUACGGGGGGGGCAAGCGUUGUUCGGAAUUACUGGGCGUAAAGGGCUCGUAGGUGGCCAACUAAGUCAGACGUGAAAUCCCUCAGCUUAACUGGGGAACUGCGUCUGAUACUGGAUGGCUUGAGUUUGGGAGAGGGAUGCGGAAUUCCAGGUGUAGCGGUGAAAUGCGUAGAUAUCUGGAGGAACACCGGUGGCGAAGGCGGCAUCCUGGACCAACACUGACACUGAGGAGCGAAAGCCAGGGGAGCAAACGGG